GCUCCCAAGCCGGCGCCGGUGCCGCCCGCCAUC
rnacentral:tRNA from 1 species